CUAAGAUAGUAAGAGCAUACGGUGGAUGCCUUGGCGAUAUCUGCCGAUGAAGGACGCGACAAGCUGCGAAAAGCUGCGGAGAGGUGCAAAUGACCAUUGACCCGCAGAUCUCCGAAUGGAGCAAUCCGGCAGGGUUUAUCCCCUGUCACCCAUAUCUUCGAAUAUGGGAGGGAACCGGGCGAACUGAAACAUCUAAGUAGCCCGAGGAAGAGUAAUCAAACGAGAUACCCCAAGUAGCGGCGAGCGAACGGGGCCCAAGCCCAAACCGGUGAAGGAAACUUUGCCGGGGUUGAGGACUGCCAUACGAACUAGCCCAUUAGCCGAAAUUCCUGGGAAGGAAUGCCGAAGAAUGUGAAAGCCAUGUAAGCGAAAAUGGAAAAGGGACAGGCAGCACCAGAGUACCGCGGGACACGAGAAACCCCGUGGGAAGCCGGGGGGACCACCCUCCAAGGCAAAACACAGAUAUCGACCGAUAGCGCAUAGUACCAUGAGGGAAAGGUGAAAAGCACCCCGGGAGGGGAAUGAAAUAGAACCUGAAACCGUAUGUUUACAAGCAGUCGAAGACCGCUUAAUAAUAAGGUCAACGGCGUGCCUAUUGAAGAAUGAACCGGCGAGUUAUGAGGUCCAGCAAGGUUAAGCAGGAAAUGCGGAGCCGAAGCGAAAGCGAGUCUUAAUAGGGCGACAAGUUGGAUUGCAUAGACCCGAAACCACAGUGAUCUACCCAUGUCCAGGCUGAAGCACAGGUAAAAAUGUGUGGAGGGCCGAACCUAUAUCCGUUGAAAAGGGUUAGGAUGAGGUGUGGGUAGGGGUGAAAUUCCAAUCGAACGUGGAGAUAGCUGGUUCUCCCCGAAAUAGCUUUAGGGCUAGCCUCGAGGUAGAGAUUGCAGGCGGUAGAGCACUGAUCAGGAGAGGGGCCUACCCGGCUACCAAACCCAGUCAAACUACGAAUGGCUGCAAUUAUACUCGGGAGUCAGACUACGACUUAUAAGGGCCGUGGUCAAAAGGGAAACAGCCCAGAUCAUCAGCUAAGGUCCCAAAUGCCGUGCUAAGUGGCGAAGGAUGUGGCGUUUCAUAAACAACCAGGAUGUUGGCUCAGAAGCAGCCACCAUUUAAAGAGUGCGUAAUAGCUCACUGGUCGAGAGACGCUGCGCCGAAAAUGUCCGGGGCUCAAGCACGGAACCGAAGCUAUGGCAUUGACUAUGUCAAUGGGUAGGGGAGCGUUCUUAACAGGAAGAAGCAUGACCGGAAGGACAUGUGGACCGUUAAGAAGUGAGAAUGCCGGUAUGAGUAUCGAAAAGAAAGGUGAGAAUCCUUUCCACCGAAAGCCCGAGGGUUCCUGAGCAACGAUCGUCGUCUCAGGGUAAGUCGGGACCUAAGCCGAGGCGGAGACGCAUAGGCGAUGGACAACAGGUUGAAAUUCCUGUACCGGAUACAAUCGUUUGAGCGAUGGAGCGACGCAGAAAGGCAUAUGAUCGCGCGACUGGAAGAGCGCGUCCAAGUGCGUAUGUUGAAUCGGAGGCAAAUCCCUGAUUCUGAAAGCAGAGACACGAUGGGGAGUUAUACGAAAGUAUGACGAACUCAUAGAUCCUACACUGCCAAGAAAAACUUCUAGUGAGAAAGUAUCCGCCCGUACCGUAAACCGACACAGGUAGGCGGGGAGAGAAUCCUAAGGUGCGCGGGAAAACCCUCGUUAAGGAACUCGGCAAAUUGCAUCCGUAACUUAGGGAGAAGGAUGACCUUAAGUAAGCGAAAGGGAGAAACCCCUGGAACAGAACAAGGUGGCAGAAAAGAGGCCCAAGCAACUGUUUACCAAAAACACAGGUGCCUGCGAAAGCGAAAGCUGAAGUAUAGGUGCUGACGCCUGCCCGGUGCUGGAAGGUUAAGGAGAGAUGUCAGAGCAAUCGAAGCAUUGAACUGAAGCCCCAGUGAACGGCGGCCGUAACUAUAACGGUCCUAAGGUAGCGAAAUUCCUUGUCGGGUAAGUUCCGACCCGCAUGAAAGGCGUAAUGAUUUGGGCACUGUCUCAACGAGGGGCCCGGUGAAAUUGAAAUACCUGUGAAGAUGCAGGUUACCCGCGACUGGACAGAAAGACCCCAUGGAGCUUCACUGCAGCUUGAGAUUGAAUCUCGGUGAUGCAUGCACAGGAUAGGUGGGAGACUUUGAAGUAUGGGCUUUGGCUUAUACUGAGUCGAUGUUGGGAUACCACCCUUGUAUUGCUGAGAUUCUAACACGGAGGCUAACAACCUCGUGGACCAUCUCAGGUAGGCGGUUUGACUGGGGCGGUCGCCUCCGAAAGAGUAACGGAGGCGCC
rnacentral:rRNA from 1 species